UACAGAGGUCCCCAAGCGUUGUUCGGAUUCACUGGGCGUAAAGGGUGCGUAGGUGUGAGGAAAGUCGGAUGUGAAAAUCUCCCAAGCUCAACUUGGAAACUGCAUUUGGAAAACUACCCUUUGCUAGAGGGAUUUUGAGGGGGGGGAUUUGGAAAUACUUUGGGUGUAGCAGUGAAAAUGCGUAGAUAUCAAAGUGGGAACACCCAGUGGCGAAAGGCGAAAUCCCCUGGAAAAAUACCCUGACACUGAGGGCACGAAAAGCUAGGGGGGAGCAAAACAGG
rnacentral:rRNA from 1 species